GGGCGAGCGCCGCCCGUGAGGAGAGCGGCGGUGCCCGCGGAGCCCGCGCUGCGCCUCAUUCCCGCGCUGCCGUGUGAGGCCGCGGCUCAGCGCUGCGUUCAGCCCGGGCUUCCCGCUCUCUGAAAGACAGCGAGGCCCUGGAGCGUCCUGAGGGAGGCAGCGACGCUGUGAGGACACAUGGCCCUCAGAACCCCAGCGCUUGGCUCCUGGCAGGGCAGAAGACAUUGUGACAUGGCGGCACAGCAGCAGCAGGAUGUCCCCUUGGAGAAUCUGCCAAGUCUACUUGGAGAACACGUCCAUGGCAUUAAGAUAUUCCACCAGCCCUGAGUGCUUCGUAAUCUCACUGGAACAGAAUACUGAAAGCUGCAAAGUUUACUGUACUGCUGUUCACCAGAUACCACUUGUGAACACAGAUAUGUCAUUGUCAGUGAGCUCUAAACACCCUAAAAGGUUUAAGGCUAAUAAACCUGACUGAUACCCUGCCAGCUUUGUGAAAAGGUUACAUAUGAUUUAGGUAGACCAGUAUAAUACAAUCAGUGCUUUUUGUUACUCUCUGCAGAAUCUAGCUAAUCCUCCAACACACACUAGCAGGCAAAUCGUGAAGAUCCCCACUGGGCCACGUCAUGUCAUGCGUCCGGUGUUCAUGGCCAGACCUUCCCAUUCCUGUGCUAUCCCCCGCAGAGCUGCCCAAAGGCCACCUCCCAGCAUCUCUCCGAAACUGAUCUUCACAAAUUUAGGCCAAGGCACGGAGAUGAGACAGCCUAGGGGCGGCGAUGAGGUGAUCUCCUUAGUAGGUAGGAGGGAAGCAUCUGUUCUCAUUCUCUUGUGUCGCUUCAUGUUUAAG
rnacentral:lncRNA from 1 species